rnacentral:rRNA from 1 species
GCAUCGAUGAAGAACGCAGCGAAAUGCGAUACGUAAUGUGAAUUGCAGAAUUCAGUGAAUCAUCGAAUCUUUGAACGCACCUUGCGCCCCUUGGUAUUCCGAGGAGCAUGCCUGUUUGAGUGUCAUGAAAUCUUCAACCCACCUCUUUCUUAGUGAAUCUGGUGGUGCUUGGUUUCUGAGCGCUGCUCUGCUUCGGCUUAGCUCGUUCGUAAUGCAUUAGCAUCCGCAAUCGAACUUCGGAUUGACUUGGCGUAAUAGACUAUUCGCUGAGGAUUCUAGUCUCUGACUAGAGCCGGGUUUGGUUAAAGGAAGCUUCUAAUCCUAAAGUCUAUUUUUUGAUUAGAUCUCAAAUCAGGUAGGACUACCCGCUGAACUUAAGCAUAUCAAUAAGCGGAGGA